AAAUUAGGCUGCUAUGCC
rnacentral:misc_RNA from 1 species